ensembl:lncRNA
GUGGAGGCUAUAUACAGGGUAUUACGGUACAGAGUCAAUGUGGAGGCUAUAUACAGGGUAUUACGGUACAGAGUCAAUGUGGAGGCUAUAUACAGGGUAUUACAGGUACGGAGGCUAUAUACAGGGUGUUACGGUACAGAGUCAAUGUGGAGGCUAUAUACAGGGUAUUACGGUACAGAGUCAAUGUGGAGACUAUAUACAGGGGGUACCAGGACAGAGUCAAUGUGGAGGCUAUAUACAGGGUGUUACGGUACAGAGUCAAUGUGGAGGCUAUAUACAGGGUAUUACAGUACAGAGUCAAUGUGGAGGCUAUAUACAGGGUGUUACGGUACAGAGUCAAUGUGGAGGCUAUAUACAGGGUAUUACGGUACAGAGUCAAUGUGGAGACUAUAUACAGGGGGUACCGGUACAGAGUCAAUGUGGAGACUAUAUACAGGGGGUACCGGUACAGAGUCAAUGUGGAGGUUAUAUACAGGGUGUUACGGUACAGAGUCAAUGUGGAGGCUAUAUACAGGGUAUUACGGUACAGAGUCAAUGUGGAGGCUAUAUACAGGGUAUUACAGUACAGAGUCAAUGUG